AUUGAACGCUGGCGGCAGGCUUAACAUAUGCAAGUCGAGCGGGGGAAGGUAGCUUGCUACCGGACCUAGCGGCGGACGGGUGAGUAAUGCUUAGGAAUCUGCCUAUUAGUGGGGGACAACAUCUCGAAAGGGAUGCUAAUACCGCAUACGUCCUACGGGAGAAAGCAGGGGAUCUUCGGACCUUGCGAUAAUAGAUGAGCCUAAGUCGGAUUAGCUCGUUGGUGGGGUAAAGGCCUACCAAGGCGACGAUCUGUAGCGGGUCUGAGAGGAUGAUCCGCCACACUGGGACUGAGACACGGCCCAGACUCCUACGGGAGGCAGCAGUGGGGAAUAUUGGACAACGGGGGGAACCCUGAUCCAGCCAUGCCGCGUGUGUGAAGAAGGCCUUAUGGUUGUAAAGCACUUUAAGCGAGGAGGAGGCUCUUUUGGUUAAUACCCAAGAUGAGUGGACGUUACUCGCAGAAUAAGCACCGGCUAACUCUGUGCCAGCAGCCGCCGUAA
rnacentral:rRNA from 1 species